rnacentral:rRNA from 1 species
AGUGAACGCUGGCGGCAGGCCUAACACAUGCAAGUCGAGCGGCAGCACGGGAAGAUCGCUUCCGUGGUGUUGGCGACGGGCGGGGGAGUGACGCGUAUAUCACCUUCUGAUAAGGCUGGGGUAAGGACGGAAAAGCACAUACAAUAUCAGCUCAUAGGGUGAACGGGGGGGAUCAAAAGUGCUAGAGGGUCUUGCUGAGACAAAUAGAUGGUGCUGGAUUGGCUAGUUGGGGGGGUAAAGGCACACCAAGGCGACGCUACGUAGCUGGUCUGAGAGGAUGAUCAGCCACACUGGAACUGAGACACGGUCCAGACUCCUACGGGAGGCAGCAGUGGGGAAUAUUGGACAAUGGGCGCAAGCCUGAUCCAGCCAUGCCGCGUGGGUGAAGAAGGCCUUCGGGUUGUAAAGCCCUUUUGUUGGGAAAGAAAAGCUGCAGGUUAAUACCUGCCUGUUCUGACGGUACCUAAAGAAUAAGCACCGGCUAACUUCGUG